rnacentral:rRNA from 1 species
CCUACGGGAGGCAGCAGUGGGGAAUAUUGCACAAUGGGCGAAAGCCUGAUGCAGCGACGCCGCGUGAGGGAUGACGGCCUUCGGGUUGUAAACCUCUUUCAGCAGGGAAGAAGCGAAAGUGACGGUACCUGCAGAAGAAGCGCCGGCUAACUACGUGCCAGCAGCCGCGGUAAUACGUAGGGCGCAAGCGUUGUCCGGAAUUAUUGGGCGUAAAGAGCUCGUAGGCGGCUUGUCACGUCGGGUGUGAAAGCCCGGGGCUUAACCCCGGGUCUGCAUUCGAUACGGGCUAGCUAGAGUGUGGUAGGGGAGAUCGGAAUUCCUGGUGUAGCGGUGAAAUGCGCAGAUAUCAGGAGGAACACCGGUGGCGAAGGCGGAUCUCUGGGCCAUUACUGACGCUGAGGAGCGAAAGCGUGGGGAGCGAACAGGAUUAGAUACCCUGGUAGUCCACGCCGUAAACGGUGGGAACUAGGUAUUGGCGACAUUCCACGUCGUCGGUGCCGCAGCUAACGCAUUAAGUUCCCCGCCUGGGGAGUACGGCCGCAAGGCUAAAACUCAAAUGAAUUGACGG